rnacentral:rRNA from 1 species
GACGAACGCUGGCGGCGUGCUUAACACAUGCAAGUCGAACGGAAAGGCCCUGCUUGCAGGGUACUCGAGUGGCGAACGGGUGAGUAACACGUGGGUGAUCUGCCCUGCACUUCGGGAUAAGCCUGGGAAACUGUGUCUAAUACCGGAUAGGAGCCAUUUUUAGUGUGAUGGUUGGAAAGUUUUUUCGGUGUAGGAUGAGCUCGCGGCCUAUCAGCUUGUUGGUGGGGUAAUGGCCUACCAAGGCGGCGACGGGUAGCCGGCCUGGGAGGGUGGACGGCCACAUUGGGACUGAGAUACGGCCCAGACUCCUACGGGAGGCAGCAGUGGGGAAUAUUGCACAAUGGGCGCAAGCCUGAUGCAGCGACGCCGCGUGGGGGAUGACGGCCUUCGGGUUGUAAACUCCUUUCGCUAGGGACGAAGCUUUUUGUGACGGUACCUAGAGAAGAGGCACCGGCUAACUACGUG